UACAGAGGUCCCAAGCGUUGUUCGGAUUCACUGGGCGUAAAGGGUGCGUAGGCGGUUGGGUAAGUCUGUCGUGAAAUCUCCGAGCCCAACUCGGAAACUGCGUCGGGUACUAUUCAACUCGAGGAAUGGAGGGGAGACUGGAAUUCUCGGUGUAGCAGUGAAAUGCGUAGAUAUCGAGAGGAACACCAGUGGCGAAGGCGAGUCUCUGGACAUUUCCUGACGCUGAGGCACGAAAGCCAGGGGAGCAAACGGG
rnacentral:rRNA from 1 species